CUCCUAGUCCCAUUCUUCUUUCUUCUCCGGUGGUGGUGAGCUCCAGUUGUAUUUUCAGCCAUGAAGAUAUUUUACCUUGUCUUUGCCGUCCUGUGUUUAAUGAUGCUGGUGGUUCCAGGUUUCUCUCAAAUAUAUGGCAGCAAAAAGUGCCGAGAGUCCAAGGGGAAAUGUUACAAGCGCAGGUGUCCGGGCGGUUACAAGUACAUCGGAAAGUGUGGACAGAAGGUUCCAUGCUGCUGGAAACGAUGAUCAACCAGAGCACAACCAUAUCAGUCAAUGGGCUAUUUGAAAUUCCUUGGAUCUGUGGCUGUGAAAUUCAGAUGGACCACACUUCUAGAGCUUUCAGCCGUGGGAAGAUGUGUAGAUGCCCUCUGCCUAAAUAAAAGCAAAUUUUGACAUAA